CAAUAUCCUUAUUAAUGGAUUAUGUAAGAUUAAAAUGGUUGAUGAAGCCUUGAAUCUCUUCACAGAAAUGCAUUGCAAACCCAAUACAGUAUCUUACAACACUCUUAUUGAUGGAUUCUGCA
rfam:Medicago truncatula strain A17 chromosome 6, whole genome shotgun sequence.